GAUGAACGCUGGCGGCGUGCCUAAUACAUGCAAGUCGAGCGAACGGACGAGAAGCUUGCUUCUCUGAUGUUAGCGGCGGACGGGUGAGUAACACGUGGAUAACCUACCUAUAAGACUGGGAUAACUUCGGGAAACCGGAGCUAAUACCGGAUAAUAUUUUGAACCGCAUGGUUCAAAAGUGAAAGACGGUCUUGCUGUCACUUAUAGAUGGAUCCGCGCUGCAUUAGCUAGUUGGUAAGGUAACGGCUUACCAAGGCAACGAUGCAUAGCCGACCUGAGAGGGUGAUCGGCCACACUGGAACUGAGACACGGUCCAGACUCCUACGGGAGGCAGCAGUAGGGAAUCUUCCGCAAUGGGCGAAAGCCUGACGGAGCAAUGCCGCGUGAGUGAUGAAGGUCUUCGGAUCGUAAAACUCUGUUAUUAGGGAAGAACAUAUGUGUAAGUAACUGUGCACAUCUUGACGGUACCUAAUCAGAAAGCCACGGCUAACUACGUG
rnacentral:rRNA from 1 species